GCGGCGGUGUCCGCCCCCCAGGCGGUGGGCGGCGAGACAGGGAAAUAUCUGGGAAACAUGGGAAAGUGGCAGUCGGGUGUUGGGUAGAAGUGGCCACCCGGGGUAUUUUCGCUGGCGCGAUAAUAUUCCGGAGGCUCGGAGCGGUUCCGGGGAGGGUCCCGGGCUGAUUUUUUUGCUGCGUAAUCGGUUCGGCGGAGGUUUCGCUUCCUCGGCUGCCCAGACAGCGCUGCCUCUGCCCGAGCACUGAGCCAGAGCUGUGGGACCCCCGCCUCCCCACGGCGGCCUCAGGGGAGAUGUUUUCCCGAGAGAAAUGUUUUCCCGCCCUGUGUCAUUUUUCUCAGUUUCACCUUGUUAAAACCUCACGAAAUCGUAGCAGUUUUCACAUCCCUGCUCCCGCUCCGUUGUUACUGAUUUAAACUAAAGUUCCCGGCUGAUUUAUCACUUGGUAUGUGUUUUUUGGCUGUCCGGUAAUGUUGCUGUUCCAGUAAAUGAUCUGUAUAACGAAAAAUACUGAUCUCUUUAUAAUUUAUGCAUAAUGUAAUCUGAUCAUAAUUAUAGUAGGAAAAUAAUGAAACGGUUUUGUUUUUUAUUUUUUCCCUUCCAAGACGAUCCCUCUUUUGAUGCUCUGCAUUUCCUGUUUGGAGUUGCCAUCUUCCCAAAUCUUGGAAGCCUGUUCUCUUGAGGAACUGACAGCAGCCUCUUGCUCACAGGCCUUGUUUAUUGUUUAUUUAUUAUUGUUUAUUGUCUUAGCUUUCAUGGGUUUUAUCACAAGUUCAGACUUUGUCUGCUUCACUUGUUACAGGGCACUAAGGUUUUUCUGAAGUUCUCCGUAGUGAAACUGAUAAAUUGGCUUUGAUGCCUUUGUGGUCUUAAUAUAAAUGCCUAAUUCAUGUUCCCCAUUUGUUGGCAUCUGAACUUUGCUUUAUAAUGCUAUAUUCUAGAGGGAAUAGUUCCCUGCUAUAUUUGCAUUCUGUACUUUUAUCUUUCAAAACACUGCAGUGGUCCUCAGAAGUUACAUGGUUUAUUUUUGUUAACCUUUCUUCUGUACCCAGCUUUGCAAGCCUUUUAUUUUUUUUUUUUUGUAUCAGGUGGAUACCCAUGAGCCAGCUUUGUCUUCUUCAGAAAUGUUCAUCAGAUUGUUAAUAUGGAUUUUAGUGAGGCCCCCACAAAAUCAGGAAAACACCUGGGAACUCUUCUUUGUGAAUAUGUAUUUGCUUCCACUUUUGAAUAAAACAAAUCUAUUGGUUAAGUAUGAUGCUGCUUUAUAGCAUCAUAUAUAUAUAUAUAUAUAUAUAUAUAUAUAUAUAAAAUCUGUUAUGCUGGAUGUCUUAAAUCAUGGUCUCAUUCAGGAUGGAUGAGGUCUCUGGUCCAGUCACCUGCUCAAAGCAGUGUCAGUGCUGACUUCAGACCAGGUUCCACAGGACUUUGUUUACUCAAGCAUCUCAAAUGCAGUGUCACCCAGCCCUGGGUCUGGCCACUGACUGCUCUCACUGCAGUUACCAUCCAUGUGCUUUCCCCUGUUCCUGAAGCAAUGAAAAACAUUCACAGGGUUCGCAUGAUCCAGAUGAUUCAUUUUUUUGGGUACCCACCUUAUGGAAAGUCAGAAACACUGUGUACAAUAGCUCAAGACAAAUUACAAAUUAUACUGCCCAUGCAUCUGUCACAAUGAACGUGAGCAACCAGAUCAACUGGAGAACACAAAGACCUACUAGAGUAAGAAAACAUAUCUCACCAAAUCAUCACUGUGCCUCUGACUUCCUAGUUCUGCUAUUACCAGGGGCUGCACGAAUCUUGACCUCAGCAGAAAUAUAUUUUCUAGCAUGUUCCAGUUUUUUCUUAUAUGCCACCUUUUGCUACCAUCAUUCACAGGGAUUUACUGCCCUUCACAGGGAGAUACUGCCCUUCCUAUUUCUCACUGCCCCAUCCAACUUUUGUCACUUGUCACUACUUCCAUCAAGUCUGGUUGUUUCACUUGUGCUCAUCCUUCCCAGCAGUCCUAGUGUACUUAAUUGGUUAAAACCUGCUUGUUAUUUUCCUUCACUCUCCUUUCUUUGGUUUCUUGCUGGCUUAACUCACUGAAAUGUCACAAUUGAAGUCCAAUGACCAUAUGGCUCUAGAGUGACACUACAGCCUAACAGGCCCAAUGGCCAACUGCUGCUGAAAUGGGCUUGCUCCCUCCACACCUACCCUCUCCUGGCACCUGCUGUAGCACUUAUUACACCCCAUAGUGAAAAAAUUCUAGCAAAAAAAAAUGUCUCUGGGGCAGGAUGGGGAGCUUUCCACAUAGCAUUGACUUUAUUUUUUAAGAGCAGUGAAGAUUUUGAAAAAGCUGAAAAUUAUUUUGCAAUACUAGGUUUCCACCAUAAAUCAUCUUGUUUUGGAAUCAAACAACUGCCAAUGAUGACAAGAAGAGGGAAAAAGGCAGAUUGCCUCUCUGGACAACAAUUAGUUGCUAAAAUGCCUUCCCUGCAUUGGGUAAGUGCUUUGCCCCAAACUUGUUCACCCAUAUCAGCUUGCAUGAAACUCAUUGUACUUCGCAUCAGGAAAAGUGUUAGAAGGCCUGAAAGCUUAUCAGUCUUUAGCCAUUACACCAGCUUGUAAAUAAAAGGUACCAGCUCUCUAGAAAAGGUGCCUCAUCUUUAAUUAUUACUUGCAUUUGUGUUUCCCAUUUAAACACUCUUUACAAGAGGAAAUUUUCCUUAUACACAAGAGGAGUUACCAUCAUGAUGAUUUUAAACAUCUUCAAUCUAGGUAUAGGGGCAUUUUGACUACAAUAAUGUUGAGUCAUACAGGAAAGCUGCAGGUAGUUGUGUUUGGUGCAGCCUUUAAAUGAAAUCAUUAACAUUUGUCUGGAAAAUUGUGAGUGUCGACCCCAUCUCUGAGUGGAGUGCUCUCAUUUAUCUCUUAUCUUCUUCCCCUUCUAUCUCACACAAAAUAUCAGAGGUAUAGAAUAUGCUGAGGUGGAAGGGACCUACUGAGAAUCAUUGAGUUGCAACUUCUGGCUCUGCACAAGACCAUCCCUGGGAGUCACACCACGUGCUUGAGUAGUUUUCCUCUUAUGUUCUAAGUAUGAAAACACUGCCUGAAGAAUCUAGUUCACACUCUUGAUUAGAAGGUGCGUCACUAGAUUUCUCUUUGCAGGUAGGUAAUGAACUUCUCAGUCCAGAUGUUAAAAAAAAACAUGCACAGCAGGAGUCCACUUCUUCAAAGUAAAGAUGUAAAAACCCAGCAAUUGCCUUCCUAAACCUUGACUCUUUACGAAGAACGUUACUAGGCACUGAACACCCACCACAAACCCAACUGUGAUAUAGCAGCUACAGACCUGCUGUCUGCACUACUGAAGGAAAUUACAAAAAAAACCCAAAAAACCCACACAACCUGCUUGUAGCCAGAAUCAGUAAUUAUAUGUUAAGCUCAAGAUACAGAAACUACCCCACAGGUGAUGUUUUACAGCUCAUGUUGCAUAAGCCCCAACAGGGCAGUAUGCUGAUUGAACAGAGGCAAAGCAUACAAAAGAAUCACAUUUUAAUUCUUCAGACUGAACCAACUAACAUUGUCUGAAGAUCCAGACUACUCAUCCUACAGGAAGCUCCUUCAGUGAUGGAAGGGAGGGCAGGGUACAAGUUUAUAAUAGAGGCACACCCACAUAAUGGGUGCCACACACAGCUCACUCCUACACUUGGCACGCUCUGCUUUAUAUCCAUUCUCACCUGCCACCACCAGAGCGGGCGACACAGUGUGAGGGGGAAGUGUUUCUGCUGCUUCAGCUUCCUGGGUAGCAGAUUAUGGGUACAGAUAAGCUCCAGAUUUGGUACAAAGAGACCUGUAGGAAGAGUAAAGGAUGGUGGGGUUGAGCACGGAAAAGUCUCUUUUAGCAGAGGCCAGUUUAAAAACUUUCCUUAUGAGGGUCAAAUUUAGUAACAGCUAAAUCACCCACUUAGCACUACUGCCCUUACUUGAGAAGGCAAAACCCUAAGUCAUAUAUGAAAACUAAUAGCGACUCAAACCCAAAAAGCUUUGCUGAAGAUGGAAGCUUUAUUGUUCCUCAUAAUCUGCCUAGUGAAAGCUCUGCCCUUGGUGUGGUAAAGCUUCUGUAAUUGUCAGGGAAGGAGGCCAGGACAGAGACAGAGGACUGACAACCACAGCUGCAGUGUCAGGGGUGCAACUUUCAUACUGGGGAGGUGCAGGAGAGUGGCAACAGCUGGAAAGCUCCAAGUCAGAGAGGGAAGGCUUCUAGUGCUAUGGGAGAAGAUGAAAUGGAGCAUUGGUAUGGCAGCAAAGAGAGGGAAAACCGUACCGUGAAACUAGGAAAUACGAAAAGCACUGCAAGCACUCGUUCUGUGAUAUAACAAAUCAAAUAACAAGAAAUUUUUGAUUAAACACAUCUAAAUCAGGAACAAAAUCUUAUGGAAGUGAUACUGUCCUAUUGAAAGUAGUAAAGGUACUCUCCUCCCUCAGUGAAAAAUGAAAAUGGCACUAUGCUCAAAUCAUCACAUGCUAAUCCUGGAUGAUCCUUCUGACCCACCUUCCCAUUUUUUUUUCAAUUAAAGUGAUUGAAGAACACAGCACUACAGAGUCUAGGAAAAAUAUUCAUCUGAUUAUGCUAGAGGUAAGUCAGCUUUUUACUGUGGACAUUAGUUCAUGAGGAAAGUAUUAUAAAUCCCAUGCACGGCAAGACUCGAACUUUCCCCUGCCCCCAUGAAACAGUUAUAAAUGUCUGUAAUGUUAAAGAACUAAAAAAAUAAAAAUAGCAGCAUUCUACUAAAAAUCACUGUAUAGGCCACUGAUGCUACUGAAAUAUUGCAGUGAAUGCAAUUCUCUCUUUCUGCCAGCAUCUUCCAUAUGCAAAGGGGCAAUACAAUUUAUUACCUAAACACCAGAAAAGUUGCCAGGUUCUACUUGGAUGUAACAGACAGAAGAUUCAAGAAUGCUGUAGCUUCUAAAGAUUCAGCUAAAAUGAUUCAGAGAGACUUAAGACAUUUCACUGGAUCAAAUUUUAUUGUUUUUAUAAAAAAAAGAUAGAACCAGAUGCUACUUUUAAGUGAAAUCGUUUAUUACACCAAUCUGUUUUAUAGGAGGUAUAUAUAUAUUUUAUCAUUAAGACAACUUCAAUAAAAUGACUAUCUACAAGAAGGACUUUGAUUGUUUUAUUUUUAUGUCACCAUAUAUGAACAAAUGAAUUUUAUGUCUUAUUAAAACAUUUUACUCCGUAUCAAAAAUGUACACAUUUUAAUAACCAUUGCUAUGGUCAGAAGGUAUUUUUACAUUUAAUUCAUUUAAUUUAAAAAAUAAGUGUAAUUUCAUUGCUGUAUGUGUUACAGUGUAAGCUUAAAUCAUUCUAUACAUAAUAAAAGUUUGUGUAUACAGAUAAUUUUUUCAUGUUGUCACAUACCUUCAUGUCUGAGACACAGGUGGGGAAUUUGCAUUUCUUUUUUGCAGAAGGUUAAAGUACAUACUGAUGUGAGCACAAAGCAACAUUUCUUAAAAACAAAACCAGUUUGAAUGGCACAAGAGUUAGCAUUUUUAUAAAUUAACAACCAGAGUUCUGCA